AAAUUGAAGAGUUUGAUCAUGGCUCAGAUUGAACGCUGGCGGCAGGCCUAACACAUGCAAGUCGAACGGUAACAGGAAGCAGCUUGCUGCUUCGCUGACGAGUGGCGGACGGGUGAGUAAUGUCUGGGAAACUGCCUGAUGGAGGGGGAUAACUACUGGAAACGGUGGCUAAUACCGCAUAACGUCGCAAGACCAAAGAGGGGGACCUUCGGGCCUCUUGCCAUCAGAUGUGCCCAGAUGGGAUUAGCUAGUUGGUGAGGUAACGGCUCACCAAGGCGACGAUCCCUAGCUGGUCUGAGAGGAUGACCAGCCACACUGGAACUGAGACACGGUCCAGACUCCUACGGGAGGCAGCAGUGGGGAAUAUUGCACAAUGGGCGCAAGCCUGAUGCAGCCAUGCCGCGUGUAUGAAGAAGGCCUUCGGGUUGUAAAGUACUUUCAGCGGGGAGGAAGGUGUUGUGGUUAAUAACCGCAGCAAUUGACGUUACCCGCAGAAGAAGCACCGGCUAACUCCGUGCCAGCAGCCGCGGUAAUACGGAGGGUGCAAGCGUUAAUCGGAAUUACUGGGCGUAAAGCGCACGCAGGCGGUCUGUCAAGUCGGAUGUGAAAUCCCCGGGCUCAACCUGGGAACUGCAUUCGAAACUGGCAGGCUUGAGUCUUGUAGAGGGGGGUAGAAUUCCAGGUGUAGCGGUGAAAUGCGUAGAGAUCUGGAGGAAUACCGGUGGCGAAGGCGGCCCCCUGGACAAAGACUGACGCUCAGGUGCGAAAGCGUGGGGAGCAAACAGGAUUAGAUACCCUGGUAGUCCACGCCGUAAACGAUGUCUACUUGGAGGUUGUGCCCUUGAGGCGUGGCUUCCGGAGCUAACGCGUUAAGUAGACCGCCUGGGGAGUACGGCCGCAAGGUUAAAACUCAAAUGAAUUGACGGGGGCCCGCACAAGCGGUGGAGCAUGUGGUUUAAUUCGAUGCAACGCGAAGAACCUUACCUGGUCUUGACAUCCACAGAACUUUCCAGAGAUGGAUUGGUGCCUUCGGGAACUGUGAGACAGGUGCUGCAUGGCUGUCGUCAGCUCGUGUUGUGAAAUGUUGGGUUAAGUCCCGCAACGAGCGCAACCCUUAUCCUUUGUUGCCAGCGGUCCGGCCGGGAACUCAAAGGAGACUGCCAGUGAUAAACUGGAGGAAGGUGGGGAUGACGUCAAGUCAUCAUGGCCCUUACGACCAGGGCUACACACGUGCUACAAUGGCGCAUACAAAGAGAAGCGACCUCGCGAGAGCAAGCGGACCUCAUAAAGUGCGUCGUAGUCCGGAUUGGAGUCUGCAACUCGACUCCAUGAAGUCGGAAUCGCUAGUAAUCGUGGAUCAGAAUGCCACGGUGAAUACGUUCCCGGGCCUUGUACACACCGCCCGUCACACCAUGGGAGUGGGUUGCAAAAGAAGUAGGUAGCUUAACCUUCGGGAGGGCGCUUACCACUUUGUGAUUCAUGACUGGGGUGAAGUCGUAACAAGGUAACCGUAGGGGAACCUGCGGUUGGAUCACCUCCUUACC
rnacentral:rRNA from 1 species